CUACGGACUUAAAAUCCGUCGACUUUAGAAAUCGUGAGGGUUCAAGUCCCUCUAUCCCCA
rnacentral:tRNA from 1 species